GGCUCGGUAGCUCAGUUGGUAAAGCGCUCGUCUAGCAUACAAGAGUCCUGGGUUUAAAUCCCAGCCGAGCAC
rnacentral:tRNA from 1 species